AGUGAACGCUGGCGGUAGGCCUAACACAUGCAAGUCGAACGGCAGCACAGGAGAGCUUGCUCUCUAGGUGGCGAGUGGCGGACGGGUGAGGAAUACAUCGGAAUCUGCCCAGUCGUGGGGGAUAACGUAGGGAAACUUACGCUAAUACCGCAUACGACCUUCGGGUGAAAGAGGGGGAUCGCAAGACCUCUCGCGAUUGGAUGAGCCGAUGUCGGAUUAGCUAGUUAGCGGGGUAAUGGCCCACCAAGGCGACGAUCCGUAGCUGGUCUGAGAGGAUGAUCAGCCCCACUGGAACUGGGACAAGGUCCAGACUCCUACGGGAGGCAGCAGUGGGGAAUAUUGGACAAUGGGCGCAAGCCUGAUCCAGCCAUACCGCGUGGGUGAAGAAGGCCUUCGGGUUGUAAAGCCCUUUUGUUGGGAAAGAAAUCUUUCAGGCUAAUACCCUGGGAGGAUGACGGUACCCAAAGAAUAAGCACCGGCUAACUUCGUG
rnacentral:rRNA from 1 species